UAUGUGUUUUCCUCUCCUUUCUGUCAGUUUUCUGUUCAACUAGGGUUACCAGACAUGAACCCUAUCACCUUUCUUCCGUUAAAUCCGGCCACCGUCGUCCCACCACUUCGCGUAAGUGCCCAUCGUUCUGAACCUAUGAUUCCUAAUCUAUUCACCGACUAUGCCGCCGUCACUUCAUCAACAGCUGUUCCACUUCAUCUUGUACUUCCUUCCGCUAGAUUGGCUGUAAUCGUUGGAUGCUACUAUGCUAUGGAGCUCAUUUAUUAUCUAUCUUCGCUUCUCCCUAUCUACAAACCAUGGGUCAAAAAAUCGAGGCAAGUGCUCGGAAGGCCAUGAUCUCCAAAUUCAGGUUGGAGCUUUGUGAAGGAAAGGUGUACAAGAUUGCAUUGAUACUAAUUUUUGUACAAGGAGCAACAUGCGAAUGGGAGACUGUCAGGGAUACAAGGAGUUUUUUACGAGAAAUAAAAGGAAGCAUUAAAAGGAUUAUCGGUGGAAGAGGUGACUUAUAAAGAACUCUUUUAGUGCUUUUAAAAUUAUUUUAUGUUUUUUCCUGGGUAUAAUUGUUGUAGUUUAUUUAGGGAAUUUUUUAAUAUGGUAUGUGAUGAUAAAAACUUUUGCUGAAUGUUUGGGAUUUUGAUCGGUGAUGUGUGUUGAAACUAGCGAUCUGAUGCAGAGUAUAUUGUUUCCAUAUAACAUUGUUAGUCUCUUUAAAUACAAGUUUGUACUUGAUAAGUUGAUUGUUUUGUUA